rnacentral:rRNA from 1 species
AGUGAACGCUGGCGGUAGGCCUAACACAUGCCAGUCGAACGGCAGCACAGUAAGAGCUUGCUCUUACGGGUGGCGAGUGGCGGACGGGUGAGGAAUACAUCGGAAUCUACUUUUUCGUGGGGGAUAACGUAGGGAAACUUACGCUAAUACCGCAUACGACCUACGGGUGAAAGCAGGGGAUCUUCGGACCUUGCGCGAUUGAAUGAGCCGAUGUCGGAUUAGCUAGUUGGCGGGGUAAAGGCCCACCAAGGCGACGAUCCGUAGCUGGUCUGAGAGGAUGAUCAGCCACUCUGGAACUGAGACACGGUCCAGACUCCUACGGGAGGCAGCAGUGGGGAAUAUUGGACAAUGGGCGCAAGCCUGAUCCAGCCAUACCGCGUGGGUGAAGAAGGCCUUCGGGUUGUAAAGCCCUUUUGUUGGGAAAGAAAAGCAGCAGGUUAAUACCCCGCUGUUCUGACGGUACCCAAAGAAUAAGCACCGGCUAACUUCGUG